rnacentral:rRNA from 1 species
GCUAAUACUCCAUAUACUCUAGGGAGGAAAGCGGGGGAUCGAAAGACCUCGUGCUUUAAGGGUGGCCGAUGUCUGAUUAGCUAGUUGGUAGGGUAAAGGCUUACCAAGGCGACGAUCAGUAGCUGGUCUGAGAGGACGAUCAGCCACACUGGGACUGAGACACGGCCCAGACUCCUACGGGAGGCAGCAGUGGGGAAUUUUGGACAAUGGGCGAAAGCCUGAUCCAGCCAUGCCGCGUGAGUGAAGAAGGCCUUCGGGUUGUAAAGCUCUUUCGGUCGGAAAGAAAUGUCUAUAAAUAAUACUUAUAGAAAAUGACGGUACCGACAUAAGAAGCACCGGCUAACUACGUGCCAGCAGCCGCGGUAAUACGUAGGGUGCAAGCGUUAAUCGGAAUUAUUGGGCGUAAAGGGUGCGCAGGCGGUAUUGUAAGUCAGAUGUGAAAGCCCCGGGCUUAACCUGGGAAUUGCGUUUGAAACUA